GGAUGUGAGGGUGAUUUGGCUGUGACAUCUGUAACCCCAUUGAUCCCAUGAUUGAUCUGGCUGGCUAGGCGGGUGUCCCCUUCCUCCCUCACCACCCCAUAUGUGACCCUCCUGAAGCUAUAUGCUCAGCUGAAGAGGACAACCUUCCCCAAAUAGAGCCGGACUGGUCAUCAGAUUGAAGGUAUAUGAGUAACUACACUCACCUGCUAGAACCUCCAAAUAAGCUCUCAAAUAAUAAAAUAAGAAGACACAUGACCCUGUGACUUUGGCAACAUAGAGGUAGAUCAUUGGUGACCU
ensembl:misc_RNA 7SK 7SK RNA